rnacentral:rRNA from 1 species
AGAGUUUGAUUCUGGCUCAGGAUGAACGCUAGCGGCAGGCUUAACACAUGCAAGUCGAGGGGCAGCGGGAUGUAGCAAUACAUUGCCGGCGACCGGCGGAUGGGUGCGUAACGCGUAUGCAACCUACCUUAUACAGGGGAAUAACCUUUCGAAAGGGAGACUAACACCCCAUAGUAUUGAUUUAAGGCAUCUUAGAUUAAUUAAAUAUUUAUAGGUAUAAGAUGGGCAUGCGUAUGAUUAGCUAGUUGGUAAGGUAACGGCUUACCAAGGCGACGAUCAUUAGGGGUUCUGAGAGGAAGGUCCCCCACACUGGUACUGAGACACGGACCAGACUCCUACGGGAGGCAGCAGUGAGGAAUAUUGGUCAAUGGGCGCAAGCCUGAACCAGCCAUGCCGCGUGCAAGGAAGACGGCCUUAUGGGUUGUAAACCGCUUUUACAUAAGACUAACCGUAUAUUUGCGAAUAUACCUGAAUGUAUUAUGAGAAUAAGGAUCGGCUAACUCCGUGCCAGCAGCCGC